ensembl:lncRNA
AUGGACCCUACUCAGAUCUGUCGCUACUUCCUCAAAACUCAGGCCCACUCGAAUGUAUCCCUAGCUGUGCCAGUGAGGCUUUGGAUGAGGCCCAUUGAUUAUGCGCCAAGUGCCCUCAUUGAUGCUGGGGGUCUGAGCAACGCAUUAAUGAAGGGAUCCCACAUAAAUUGCAAAUCAUCAGAUGGGCGGGUCAUGGCCCAUGAAGAAGAAACGUUUCCAACUCUUACGUUGGUUAAUGUAUCAGAAUGGGCUCUCCAAAACCCCCACCAAGGGAGGGUCCUCAAGACGCUAAGUAACAGUCAUUUUGCCAGAAAUGCCUCUCCAGCUCUUCUCUCCAGCCGGUCAAAAGCCCAACAGAGAGACCACAUCAAAUCGUUAGAACGUGAGGAUCUUCACUUUCCCCGGUUCAACUCUGUUGACCUAAGUCCUUGUGACAAGCAACACAAAAGAGUCAAGCUCAACACUGUUCAGAUGAGUCCUCUUGUCAGCUGCUCCAGUACAUCAUGGAGCUCUAAAUUCCUAGUGAUGUGGAUACCCAAUCCCCAAUACACCCCUCAGUGCCACACCCAAAAAAGGCCUAAAUCUCCCCAUAUAGCUGUCAAGGAGUUAAUUUUAUUUCCAUCCUCAAACACCUCAAACAUGAACCGAAAGAAUUCCAAGAAUAUGGGGAAGAUGGUGCAUUUCCAGCUGACACCGUUGUCACAGCCGAGAUGCGAGCAGGCUGUCGACCCCAGUGACCUUGCCCUGACCAAGUCUGGCACAGACACUGACCCCAAGACGGAGGAGGAGGAGGAGCCUGGCAACUUCCAGAAUCAGGAGCUCCUGACACUGGAGACUGGCCAAGAGACCCAGAGCCGGACUCAAACCAGCCCACAGCCCCCUUCAGUACCCCGCAGUCCUUUUCUCCUCAGGACCCAACCUGUGGUGUUCCACAGUGUCAGGGAGAAGACACAGAGACACACCCAUCAGGAAAACUCCACAUUCAAGUACAAACUGGACAGCAAGACAGGACGGGAGGACAUCGACUGGGAUAGUCUGAGAAGACGGACCUAUCUCUGGAGGAAGCCAAAUCUUCCCCUCCACUGUGACAGAGAGAAGCCCUGUUCCCCAGAGGCCAUGACCAUCACUAAGUCCUGUCAGCAGUGGAACAGCAUACCUAAGGCCACUUUCAAUCACCUCACCGGGAGUCCUCUGUCCCAUGGUAACAGACUGGAGCUCUGGGAUUCCUAUUGUGUUCAGGCCAGCAGGAUUUGUGCCCGGUUAUCACAGAGAGUCCAUGUUCGCUGGACCAUGUUCGCAGGUUGACAGUACCCCAAGGUGUCCUCACCCUUUUUUUUUAUUGGGGUGGGGGGGGGGUGGGGGGGGGGGGGGUAACCCUAAUGUAAUUUAAUGUCUGUCUGUGUGUGUCUGUCUGUCUGUUUGUCGGUCUGUUUGUGUGUGUUGUGUGUGUGUAUGUGUGCCUGGACUGUGUAUACAUAGUCUUCCACAAAAGAUGCAAUCACUGUAAAUACUGUAAACAAUGUUUAUGUUCAUACAUUUUGUGUUAUCAUUCAUUGACGACUUUUUAGAAAUGUGCACGUAUAUGUAUAUUAACUUUGAAUAUAUGCAUUGUACUUAUAGGUCUACGAUCCCAUGAGAGGACAGGGAGGGGGGUCUGAGGACAAAGGCCACAGGGCCUGCGGGUCUGAGCCAGCCCCUCCACCCUCCAGUGUCAACUCCGAUACCAAUGGAGAUGGUUGAUUUGGACAAGGAAAGACUGACUCAAAAAUCCAGGAGUGAACCCUCUCAUGAGGCCUGUGAUGCCAUCCUCGUGUUCUAGAUAAACACAUUUGGAAUCCAUGAUUUCUGGUUGCUUCCUUAUUCCUGUCAAAGUACAGCCAAC